ensembl:lncRNA
CUGUUUAUGACUUAGUUAUAUUCUUAGAUAGAUUUCAUAGGUGCUUUGUUUAUUUUCAACAUAAAUAUAUAUCUUUUUUUAAAUCAUUUUUUACACAUUUUCUGCAGCAUUUCUUUGUAACUUGAUAUGUAACUGGUUGACAGAAUUCCGAAUUGACAUCAUUUGUGAGUGAUAUGUUCUUGUUAUAUGUGCCAAUGGCCACAGUAAAAGCCAAGCAAUGUUAUACACAAGAUUACUAACCAGAAACAUGAAAUCCACACCAAGCAACAUCAUUUGAACCAAAUUUGAUGAAAUAUUUAACACAAGUUCAUAUGAUGAUUCUUAGAGCCCCAAUGAAUUAGAAUAUAAUCAUUUGACAGCCAUCUAAGCUACGACCAGUUAUGCAUUUUACUGUAUUUGACAUAAUAUGCAUGCUUGGAUUGUAAUGGAAUCAUUACCUUAAAAACCUCACCUAAAAGUUUAUGGUGAUAUCUCUGCAUUCUUACUGACAAAUAAAUAUAGCAACUUAUCAUUGCUUGAAUGCAAUUUGCUGUUGUGGCAUAGAGUACAGAAAUAUGGAUAUACAGUAGCUACUUUAAAAACAUAUACCAAUGCAUUAACAUAUCAAGGGAAUUUGAAUGUUGUACUGAAAGGGUUGAUUGUUAUUUGUCUUAGGCCGAUGAUUCUAAUUAUUAUUGACUUAAUCUGCACGUUAUGGGUGAUUAUGUGUUUCUGUGUGUAAGGUUCAUCCAACUACAGACAUCCUAGCACACAAUUGCUAAUGUGACAGUCUAUAACCUACAGCGUACUUCUGACAUGAAACAAUACCUAUACAUCACUUACAGAGAGACUCACAUGGCCCUAUGUACUUAUAUCAGCACAAAAAAAGAAAACCACAAAGACAUAAAAACAAACAAGAAAACAACGCCUUCUGAUCCUCAGAAUACCCCCCCACCCUUUUUGCUGCAAGGACAAUAAUCUGCUUUCCAGCUGAACUAUGAAUAUGGUGAGGGAAGUGGGUAUAUACUGGCUCAACAAGGUGAGCUUCUACCUACGUAUCUACAGUGUUUGCCAGCCCCCACAGAUCAUUGCGGUAAGUACAACUUCCCCUGGCCGGCAAUACCAUAUUGCUACUUCUUAGCCACAGCUAAGUAACUUGUUUGAACCGUACUGCAGUGCUGCCUUGGACGACGCUGAGAUCUAGGAUCAGUUUAACCGAACCCCUAAACAUGAUCUCAACCGUCAACCACCUGACACAGAUCACAGUAGAUUUGAGCUUGCCAAACAACAGACCCAGGAUCUGAUUACACCGCUUCACCAUGAAGGGGAACUGGUUUUGAAAGGGAAGGGUGGGGGUUGCUAGCUUGGCUGUCACCCUUACAGUCUAAUGGAUUGGCUAUUACUCGGUUUGACUCUGUUCAAUGCUCUGGUUUGGACCCAUAUGGCCAAUAGUCUCUGAGUAGAUGUACUAAUCUGGGAUGUGGGUUUUGCCUUUUAGAUCCUUGAAAGUCAUUUGAGCGGUGAGUGGUGGGGGAUCCUAGAUCAGGACCGUUCCUCUGAGCCACGUGGUGAAUCCGGGCUCUGGUCUACAUUAUAAGAAUGUCACACGCAGAUGUGUGAAUAACACGCAAAGAUAAAUGCAUAGGAUACAAAUCAGUUCCGGCACGAUACAAUAAUAAACAGCGCGAUUCAAAAUCAGGUCGCAAAAACCGCGAUCGACAAAUAAAAGUCUUGGUCAUUGGCACUGGGGAUAGGGACGAGGGAAGGUGAAUUGGAGAAGAGCUGAGAGGGUUGAAGUUGAAGCUAAAUGAGAAAAUCGCGAGUCCACGCCUUUCCAGACAGGGCCACGACUAUUGGGACUAGUAUGAGUGACUGCACAAUCACAGGAAGGUCUGUGUGUGAGUCUUGCAGAAUUCAGGACAUCUGUGAAUGCCUUAGCUUGCACACAGAUGGACUCUGUCCUCACAUUUUUAAAGAUAUCUAUGCAGACCUCGUAGAAAGGUAUUCAGCAAACGUAAAUAGUCCCCUUAUUUCUGAAUGCCACUGAACUGGUUGGAAGCUAGCUUCACCAGUGUGGAGUUGCAACCAGUUUGCUCAUAGACACUGAAUGUUACACAUUAGUUCAGUUUUAGUUUUGAUUAUGUAUAUGCACUGGAUUCUGCAAAGGCCUUUUUUUCAUAGGGACAAAACAGUGUUAUAUUUCUUUCAUUUGGAGUAGUUCUCAUUUGGAUCAACAGUCUUGAUUUUUUUAUUGAUGCAUGUAGGGGUUAAGAAGGUUCAUAAUGAAUUAGGGAUUAGGCAUGAGAUUAAUGUCAUGAACUGGUGUGUGUGUGUGUCUGAGUUCUUGUUCAUGCAGUACCGGACCUUUUACAUCACAGAAUAUGAACGAUUUAUGUAGAUCAUUCUUUUCCAGGUUUGUCUACCAUUUCGAGCUUUCCUUCUAUUUUUCAGGCCAAAAAUAUUAGCCUGUUGAUUGAUCAGAUGUAAUGUGUGAAUAUAUAUAUAUAUAUAUAUAUUUAU